rnacentral:rRNA from 1 species
UACGUAGGGGGCAAGCGUUGUCCGGAAUCAUUGGGCGUAAAGCGCGCGUAGGCGGCCCGGUAAGUCCGCUGUAAAAGUCCAGGGCUCAACCCUGGAAAGCCGGUGGAUACUGUCGGGCUAGAGUCCGGAAGAGGCGAGUGGAAUUCCUGGUGUAGCGGUGGAAUGCGCAGAUAUCAGGAGGAACACCGGUGGCGAAGGCAGCACUCUGGGACGGUACUGGCGCUGGGACGCGAAAGCGUGGGGAGCGAACAGG